UACGUUCCCGGGCCUUGUACACACCGCCCGUCACACCACGAAAGUUGGUAACACCCGAAGCCGGUGGCCUAACCCUUUGGGAGGGAGCCGUCGAAGGUGGGAUCAGCGAUUGGGGUG
rnacentral:rRNA from 1 species